GGCCGUACCAUGCUGAAUAUACCGGUUUUCGUUAGAUCACCGAAGUUAAGCAUCAUUGGGCGCGGUCAGUACUUGGGUGGGUGACCACCUGGGAACACUGCGUGCCGUU
rnacentral:rRNA from 1 species